GACGAACGCUGGCGGCGUGCUUAACACAUGCAAGUCGAACGGAAAGGCCCUGCUUUUGUGGGGUGCUCGAGUGGCGAACGGGUGAGUAACACGUGAGUAACCUGCCCUUGACUUUGGGAUAACUUCAGGAAACUGGGGCUAAUACCGGAUAGGAGCUCCUGCUGCAUGGUGGGGGUUGGAAAGUUUCGGCGGUUGGGGAUGGACUCGCGGCUUAUCAGCUUGUUGGUGGGGUAGUGGCUUACCAAGGCUUUGACGGGUAGCCGGCCUGAGAGGGUGACCGGCCACAUUGGGACUGAGAUGCGGCCCAGACUCCUACGGGAGGCAGCAGUGGGGAAUAUUGCACAAUGGGCGGAAGCCUGAUGCAGCAACGCCGCGUGCGGGAUGACGGCCUUCGGGUUGUAACCCGCUUUCGCCUGUGACGAAGCGUGAGUGACGGUAAUGGGUAAAGAAGCACCGGCUAACUACGUG
rnacentral:rRNA from 1 species